AUUGAACGCUGGCGGAAUGCUUUACACAUGCAAGUCGAACGGUAGAGGGGGCAACCCCUCGAGAGUGGCGAACGGGUGAGUAAUAUAUCGGAACGUGCCCAGUCGUGGGGGAUAACGUAGCGAAAGUUACGCUAAUACCGCAUACGAUCUAAGGAUGAAAGCGGGGGAUCGCAAGACCUCGCGCGAUUGGAGCGGCCGAUAUCAGAUUAGGUAGUUGGGGGGGUAAAGGCUCACCAAGCCAACGAUCUGUAGCUGGUCUGAGAGGACGACCUGCCACACUGGAACGGGGACACGGUCCAGACUCUUACGGGAGGCAGCAGUGGGGAAUUUUGGACAAUGGACGCAAGUCUGAUCCAGCCAUUCCGCGUGCAGGAUGAAGGCCCUCGGGUUGUAAACUGCUUUUGUACGGAACGAAAAGGUCUCUCUUAAUACGGGGGACUCAUGACGGUACCGUAAGAAUAAGCACCGGCUAACUACGUGCCAGCAGCCGCCGUAA
rnacentral:rRNA from 1 species